GACAGAGGGUGCAAACGUUGUUCGGAAUUACUGGGCGUAAAGCGAGUGUAGGCGGUUUGGUAAGUCGGAUGUGAAAGCCCUGGGCUCAACCCAGGAAGUGCAUUCGAUACUGUCAAGCUAGAGUAUCGGAGAGGUUGGUGGAAUUCUCGGUGUAGAGGUGAAAUUCGUAGAUAUCGAGAGGAACACCGGUGGCGAAGGCGGCCAACUGGACGAAUACUGACGCUGAGACUCGAAAGCGUGGGGAGCAAACAGG
rnacentral:rRNA from 1 species